rnacentral:rRNA from 1 species
AGUGAACGCUGGCGGCAGGCCUAACACAUGCAAGUCGAGCGGCAGCGCGGGGGCAACCCUGGCGGCGAGCGGCGGACGGGUGGGGAAUGCGUCGGAAUCUGCCUCUUUGUGGGGGAUAACGUAGGGAAACUUACGCUAAUACCGCAUACGACCUACGGGUGAAAGUGGGGGACCGCAAGGCCUCACGCAGAGAGAUGAGCCGACGCCGGAUUAGCUAGUUGGCGGGGUAAAGGCCCACCAAGGCGACGAUCCGUAGCUGGUCUGAGAGGAUGAUCAGCCACACUGGAACUGAGACACGGUCCAGACUCCUACGGGAGGCAGCAGUGGGGAAUAUUGGACAAUGGGCGCAAGCCUGAUCCAGCCAUGCCGCGUGUGUGAAGAAGGCCUUCGGGUUGUAAAGCACUUUUGUCCGGAAAGAAAUCCUUCCUGUUAAUACCUGGGAGAGAUGACGGUACCGGAAGAAUAAGCACCGGCUAACUUCGUGCCAGCCGCCGCUGUAAAAC